rnacentral:lncRNA from 1 species
AUGAAGCUGAACACACUUCAGGAGGAAAAAGCAAAUAUAUUGAGGGCAGAGAGAAGAUGUCAUGCAUCUGAGAUGACAAAGAACAUUCAUCUCUUUUAUGAAGCAUUGGAGAUUCCCUCUGCUCAGCGCAUAAUUCAUGGGGAUCAAGGACAAACCAAGCCUCUGGUAUUUACUGCUGGAAAGCUGAUGAUAUGGAUGUUCAGUGCUAAUAACUCUGAGGCCACAGUGAAGAAAUUGAAAAAGGCUGGUGGGUGGACAGUCAAAUGAUGUUGAAGUUUCAAGAAAUACACCAGGAGCUUUGAGUCUUCCAGAGAAGAAUCUGACAAUGCAGAGAUGACGAUUGCUGACCUGCUGUUAGAGGCUGACCGGUAGAUCUGAUGGCCUGUGCAUUGCAUUGCUGUGAAACAUCUUGUAAGUCUUUUUGUUUUCUGAGGGCUACGCCAAGAGCUACAGAGCUUGCUUCUGAAAGCUUGUGCAGAUAACUCAUAUUUGAAACCUGACAA